rnacentral:rRNA from 1 species
GUCCACGCCGUAAACGAUGGAUACUAGCUGUUUGUAGCAAUCUGAGUGGCUAACCGAAAGUGAUAAGUAUCCCACCUGGGGAGUACGCUCGCAAGAGUGAAACUCAAAAGGAAUUGACGGGGGCCCGCACAAGCGGAGGAGCAUGUGGUUUAAUUCGAUGAUACGCGAGGAACCUUACCAAGGCUUAAAUGGGAGACGACAGAUUUAGAAAUAGAUCUUUCUUCGGACGUCUUUCAAGGUGCUGCAUGGUUGUCGU